ACAGCGUGAGGCUGGCUUGACUUGAGUAGGGGUCACGAUACGAGGAUUGCUUAUGUCAAGUAAGGGUCACAACGUGAGGCUAUCUUGAGUCAAAUGGGGGUCUUGAUGAACUCCAAUUGCGACACCUCUCUGGAAUUUGCUUCUCAAAAAUUGGUUAAGUGUUGGGCGUUCCUCCCUUCAUCCUUGACUUUGCGACGUCUUUCCUAUUGUUUUCCAGACUCCAGUUUAUACAUAUAUCAUCAUAAACAUCUCAAAAAAGAUCAUACAAGAACACACCACACGAAUUAGAGGUUCAAACAACAUAACAUCCAUCACAACGAAUCAAAAAUAAGAGCUUAGACUAGGUUGAUCUCCAAGAUCUUCCACUUCAUGUUUUGACUCUAUUCUUGAAUCAAUUGAACUUUUUACACUACCAACAAGUUUUUCCUUAUAUAAUGACACCAUUAAAACCAUUUAGAACAUAUUAAACACCAUAGAAUCCAACAAAAGAGACUAGAUAAGCACCUAGCUCAAGCUAGUAACACUAGUUUCAUCGAUUGAACCCUUAGUGAUCCAAUUAAACCCAAACUUAUUUGGAAUACACUUUUCACAUUGUAAUCAGACAUUUCAUCACUUACAUGCUUAUUUAUAUCAAUAUCAACACAUUUAGAACUCAAUUUAUCCUCAAAAUAAAGUGAAAUAAGCUAGAAUAUUAACACUAGAGUGCAUAAAUACACCCAACAUCAAGAUGAGUGUUUUUCAUUCUUCUAAAGAUCAAAUGUACAAGUAUUUCAAGUGUCUAAAAUAUGAAUCCUUAUGCCUCUAUUUAUAGUUUCAUAUAGAGGCAUGCAAAAGGUUGUCAUAAAUAUGACAUUAACCAUUAACAUAAUGGAGGAGGUUAUGGAUAUGAAAGGUUACAAAAAUAAUGGCCAUCAAUGGUAGAUGUUAUCUUUAUAAUAGAGUAAAGUAAUUGAUAUAAGUAGUGGGAGUAAUUUCUAGAGUAGUGGACAUCCACAUUUAUUUGUUUUAUAACACUCCUCCUUAGAUAUCCAUAGAUGAUGUGCCUCGUUAAAACCUUACUAGGAAAAAACCCCGUGAAAAAAAAUUUCUAGUGAAGGAAAAAGAGUACACAUAUCUUAUAAUACGGGUUUUUUUGAUGCCUCGUUAAGAACCUUGCUAGAAAAACCUAUUGGGACAAAACCUAGGCCGAUGAAAAAAAGUACAGCACGUAUUUUACUCCCCCUGAUGCAAACAUUUAUUUGACUUCUCAAAGAUGACAUCUACAAUAUUAUAUCUUUGCUUUCAAAUAUUGAUAUUAAUUGUGUCGUUGUGAUCAAAUCACAUUCAUGAAGAUGUUACAUUCUUGAAAUCAUCCUGAUAUGUUGUUUUCUUAUUUAUUGGAUAUGUUAAGCCCAUGAACACAGACAAAUAAAUUCUUGAAAAUCACUUUAUUUGUGACCUCAUCAUCGCAAGCCAUUUGCAUAUUGAACUUGUUAGUAGCAGCAACCAAUUAGCCAUGAAAACUUAUUUGCAUGAUAGAUCAACUAUUCUUCCUGCACUUGCAUAACAACCAGCGUUUGACAAUAUUUGUUAAAAAUAAUAAAUCGAUAACAAUAAUAUUUGAUUUCACUCAUAUUCACAUAAAAGUGAAAUUAUAUCUAUUCUGCACAUUAAUAAAAACUAUUAUCUCAUGUAUAGAAUAGCAGGAUACAUUAGUGCAAUAAUUACACUAACACAUGGUAUUUUCUAACCAUUUCAUGAGAUUGAAAUUGAUCUUUAUUUAUGAUGAGUGAUUUCGCAAUCAUUGAGAUAUUUAAUAGAUUGAUUCUCUUUUAAAUCCUUUAAGGAUUUUUCUAUAAUAUUUACCGUCUAGCUAGACAUGAUAGUCAUUCGUUAUACAUACUCAAGAUUUUCAUACAUUGCUAGAUUUAAAGAAACCUUAUUGCAUCCACCGUAGGAGAACACAUCUCCAAACAAUAAUGUCAGCACUUUGCGAAUAACUUUUAUGCCUCAAGGCACAAGUCGCAUUUUAUAUCUUACGAUUUUACUUUUCGCACAAUCACUAAUUUGUAUCCCAUUGAAUUUAUACCUCAGUCUAUGGGCUAAUUUUAAAAUAUCACUUUUCAAGUAAAAUAUAAUAUACUUGAAUUAUGUAUUUUAUCUGUCCACACUAUUCAACAAAUUUAAAUUCAAGAUCCUUGUUACCAUUUAUAAUAGUGAGCACCAUGUUAUACCAAAAUAUCAUCGAUGGUUAUUUGAUAUUGAUUCCAAUAAGACAUAACUUAACGAGAUCUCUUUAUUUCAUCAUUUCCAGGUACCUGAAUCUUUGCCAAGGUUUUAUGAAAUAUUAUGUCAUAAUGCUAUUUUAAAGCACUUGCCUCAUUAUCAUUGACCAUAUUUAUCAUUUGUUGGUCUCCUUCUUUAAGGAGUUUUAUGUUUGGAACCGAUUUAUCUGUCACGCUUCAGGCGUGCCAUAGACUAUAUCCUUCAAGGACUUUUAUUAGAGCAUUUAUAGCUAAAUUAUAGCAUAGGGUAAGUCUGCAAUAAACUUGCAACAUUUUGCAAAUUAUGAAUUAUCAAUUGAACUUCAAGUUCACUAUUUUUUUACGACGAUCUCGAUAAUUCAUUUUAUAUAUUUCAGCUAUUAAUCAUAUCUCCCCCUAAUGUUAGAAAAUCUAACAUUCACCCCAUUCUUAUUUGUGGAUCCAUCUUUGUGCGUGGUGGCUAUUGGACAUUCAAAUUGUUUAGAUGGAUUCAUUUGGUUUCUGACCCAGAACCAACACAGAGGGGAACUUUGGAAUCGCCUCAUCUCAAAUUUUCUUUAUGGUAAAGUUGUUCUCAUAACCAAUGAUUUAGCUAUAAUUGGAGUUUGCUAAACCAAUCAGCAUUAUCAACUUUUAUAGUAUGGAAACAUGCUCACAAUUUAACAAUUUGAGCAAACAACCUUAUAAAAAUAAAAUCGCAAGUUAAUAGCAAAGCGCAUGUGACCAACCAUAGAUGCAUCUCAUUUCAUAACAAACGCUCUACAUGGCAGGUGAACGGGCCCAUAUUAACCUUGUUGUAUGUUCCAAGAAUUUAGGAAAUAUAACCAUAACCUAAGUGGGUGUAGUAUUUUACCGUGAGAACAAGCAACAUAAGAGAAUUCUUGAAGAAUCAUUUAUUUCUUCAAUGUAAAACCUCAUGAAUUCUCAAUUAUCUUUGCAUCACAUUUGAACCGGGAUGGUCAACCAGUCAAUUCAACUUAUCUAUUUCUUGUAAACUUUUCGUUUACUACAGUAUGUGAUUUCAUCACCAUGCCCAUAUUGGUAUCAACAAACAUGAGAAACUAGGUAGACUUUUCCAUAAAUAUUUAUAACCCAUGAAGAUACAAAAACUUUUCAUAAUUUAGUCUCAAAAUAAUAAUAAUUUCUUUUCUUGUCACUUUCCGGAAACGUUAAAAGUUAUUUAGGAGUCUUACUACAAUUUCAAUAUCAUAAAUAAUUCCAUUCCUCCAUGUAGCAACAUAUUAGCUUUUCAAAGCUAUACAAAACUUGUGUACUGCCUCAUAUUUAAAACACCAUUUGUAUGGUGACCAUCUCCUUUUAGGGAGAAAAUUAUUGUCAUUUAGUCAAAAUCAUUAUAUGCAAGGCCUCUUUCUUUCUUUACUCUUGCCUUUAACAAUAUAUUUUAAUAACGUUUGCUAAAGUCUUUUUUUGGCGUACCAUAUUUAUGCAAUCAAUGACAAAUUCAUUUGACCACACCAUAAUAUUUAUUUUGAUAAUGGUCAAAACUUUUAUAGGCAAGAAUCACUUAUUACUUUUAUUCUUUGCUAGAUCAUGCUCAAACACACUAUAGCAUCAAUGACCUUUUUAUACCAAAUUAAAAUUUGAUUUCCUUCACAUCUCCCGUAGAAGUGAGUUUUGAUAUUUAUCCAAUCAUAUAUAUGCACAUCUUUGUUUGUGACUUUCUUCAUAUCUUGACACAUUCACUUCAUGAACGGUCGGACAUUCACUAUAUUAAUUACCAGUCACAUUCUCUUCAAGAAAUAGACUAAUAUAUUCUAUGUGCACAAUAUCUUAACAUUUAUCAUAUUUAUAUGAUAUAUACCUUAACAUCAUUGAGAAAUUCCAAGUGUAUCUUCACUUUUGUUCUUUUCUAUUUUGAUGGAGGAUUUUUAAAACCUAUCAAAUUAGGUUCCACGACAACCAUAUGCCAACUACUUUUCAUACCAAAUUGAUGGUGAACAAAAAUUACCUUCACCUUUUGAAGGAUAAUUUGGAGAAUCCAUAGUGUUUUUCCUUUUAUGAUUACCAAGGUGAUGACUAUUAUAACUUUGUUCCUCCACGUCCAAAUGCAUUUUUAACCAUUUGUCUUCUAUCAGACUUAUAUGCACGACUACUACAUUUAUAUCAAAGAAUAAAGAAAAUCAAUGUGGCAGAUUCUAUUAAUUUUCACCAAAAGUACAUUUACAUCGGUCAUCGUUAUCAUCAAAUAGUGCAUUGGGACUUAGAUCCAACAUCUUACCAGCAUAAAGGCCUUUAAGCCAUAAUUUUAUGGGACUCAAAACCCAAUACCUUAUUAUCAUGGUGCCAUUUGGACUUUAACCCAAGGCCUUAUUCUCUUGAUGCGAUGAGGCCUUAUUGUUCAUUUGUCACAUUUAUAUUACCCAUCUCAACAUCAUCUGGAAAGCUGAAGUGUAUCACCACUUUAUAUUCUUUUAGUUGAUGGAGAUCUUAUAAAAUUUAUCAAAUUUGGUCACACUACAACUGAGUGCCCAAUACCUUACCUAUUUAAUUAGUGAUAAAAAUAACCUUCAACUUUUGAAGGACUAUUUUGAAAACCCAUAAUGUUCUUUCUUUCACAAUUACCACAAUGAUUACUAUUAUAUUUUUUGUUCCUUCACGCCCAUAUAUUAAACCAAAUAUCUUUUUUCAGACUUAUUACGCAAUACCAUCAUGUUCAUAUCAAAGAAUGGAGUAUAUCAAUGUGGCAGAUUUUAUGACUUUCCAUCAAAAAUACAUCAUUUGACAUAGACAUCAUUAUCAUAAAUAUAUUUCAUUGAAAGUUGAACACAACGUCCUUUCCCAUAAAAGUGUGUUAAUCAUAAUUCAUAGAGACUUGAAUCCAACAUUUUUUCUCAUGACGCACCAAAACUUGAACUGAUAUCUUACCCUUUUGAUGCGAUAAGACUUGAAUCUACCGCCUUACCUCCAACCAAUGAGAUAAUUGACCAAAUAAAUUACAAUAAAAUAAAUAUCUAAUACAAUAAAACAUUAAUGAGUUUUAACUUAAAAGAUCUCUAAGCAUAAGCAUAAACAAGACAUAUAUCAAACCAUGAUAUUUCACUGUAUUAGGGAUAGUAGUCCCAUAAAAUCAAUUUUUUUUGUAAAUCAACUAACAAUAAAGAAGAGAAACUCACCACCUCCAUGAUCUAGUUGUUGAGCUAAUCUUACCUUUAACUUGUGAGCUUCAUGCUGAUAACGUAUUUUAAAACUAAGACAAAAGAUGAAUAUUAUGAAUAGUAAAGUAGAUAAAAAAUAUCGAGAGAAGACAAGAGAUGAGUAUUUUUUAUUUUCCAAAUAUCAAAUGUACAAGUCUUUCAAGUGUCUACAAUAUGAAUCCUUAUGCCUCUAUUUAUAGUGUCAUAUAGAG
rnacentral:lncRNA from 1 species